rnacentral:rRNA from 1 species
CGGGAGGCAGCAGUGGGGAAUUUUCCGCAAUGGGCGAAAGCCUGACGGAGCAACGCCGCGUGAGGGAGGAAGGUCUUUGGAUUGUAAACCUCUUUUCUCAAGGAAGAAGUUCUGACGGUACUUGAGGAAUCAGCCUCGGCUAACUCCGUGCCAGCAGCCGCGGUAAUACGGGGGAGGCAAGCGUUAUCCGGAAUUAUUGGGCGUAAAGCGUCCGCAGGUGGUCAGCCAAGUCUGCUGUCAAAUCAGGUUGCUUAACGACCUAAAGGCGGUGGAAACUGGCAGACUAGAGAGCAGUAGGGGUAGCAGGAAUUCCCAGUGUAGCGGUGAAAUGCGUAGAGAUUGGGAAGAACAUCGGUGGCGAAAGCGUGCUACUGGGCUGUAUCUGACACUCAGGGACGAAAGCUAGGGGAGCGAAAGGGAUUAGAUACCCCUGUAGUCUUCGCCGUAAACGAUGGAUUCU